CCUACGGGUGGCAGCAGUGAGGAAUAUUGGUCAAUGGGCGCGAGCCUGAACCAGCCAAGUAGCGUGAAGGAUGACUGCCCUACGGGUUGUAAACUUCUUUUAUAAAGGAAUAAAGUGAGGCACGUGUGCCUUUUUGUGUGUACUUUAUGAAUAAGGAUCGGCUAACUCCGUGCCAGCAGCCGCGGUAAUACGGAGGAUCCGAGCGUUAUCCGGAUUUAUUGGGUUUAAAGGGAGCGUAGAUGGGUUGGUAAGUCAGUUGUGAAAGUUUGCGGCUCAACCGUAAAAGUGCAUUUGAUACUGGCAGCCUUGAGUACAGGAGAGGUAGGCGGAAUUCGGGGUGUAGCGGUGAAAUGCGUAGAUAUCACGAAGAACUCCGAUUGCGAAGGUAGCCUACUAAACUGCCACUGACAUUGAUGCUCGAAAGUGUGGGUAUCAAACAGGAUUAGAUACCCCAGUAGUC
rnacentral:rRNA from 1 species